CAGUGGGGAAUUUUCCACAAUGGGCGAAAGCCUGAUGGAGCAACGCCGCGUGUGUGAUGAAGGUCUUCGGAUCGUAAAGCACUUUCGACCGGGAAGAAAAACCUCUGGCUAACAUCCAGGGGCCUGACGGUACCGGGAGAAGAAGCACCGGCUAACUCUGUGCCAGCAGCCGCGGUAAUACAGAGGGUGCAAGCGUUGUUCGGAAUUAUUGGGCGUAAAGCGCGUGUAGGCGGCUUGGCAAGUCAGAUGUGAAAGCCCAUGGCUUAACCAUGGAAGUGCGUCUGAAACUGCUGAGCUUGAGUCUCGGAGAGGAUGGCGGAAUUCCGCAAGUAGAGGUGAAAUUCGUAGAUAUGCGGAGGAACACCGGUGGCGAAGGCGGCCAUCUGGACGAGUACUGACGCUGAGACGCGAAAGCGUGGGGAGCAAACAGGAUUAGA
rnacentral:rRNA from 1 species